CAAAAACAUCUUUUCUUGUUAGUUUUUGAAGUAUGGCCUGCCCGCUGACAUUUGGUGUUGAAGGGCCGCGGUAUUUUGACCGUGCAAAGGUAGCAUAAUCAUUAGUUCUUUAAUUGUGAUCUGGAAUGAAUGGCUUGACGAGGCACGGGCUGUCUUAGUGUUGAAUGUUUUAUUGAAUUUGGUCUUUGAGUUAAAAUUCUUAGAUGUUUUUGUGGGACGAGAAGACCCUAUAGAGUUUGACAUUUGGUUUAUUUACUUGUUUGUUGUUUGUUUAUUUUUGGUGAGUGGGCUUUUUGUUUUGUUGGGGUGAUGGGAGGAAUGUACUUAACUCCUCUUAGUUUUGGUUAUAUUGAUUUAUAAUUGUUUGAUCCAUUUAUUUUGAUUAUAAGACUAAAUUACCUUAGGGAUAACAGCGUUAUCUUCCUUGAGAGUUCUUAUCGGCAGGGGGGUUUGCGACCUCGAUGUUGGAUUAAGGUGAAUUUUUGGUGUAGGGGCUGAAA
rnacentral:rRNA from 1 species